AUUGAACGCUGGCGGCAGGCCUAAUACAUGCAAGUCGAACGCGUGGCGGACGUGUGAGUCACGUCUGGGAAACAGCCUGAAGGAGGGGGAUAAUUACUGGAAACGGUAGCUAAUACCGCAUACCGUUCGCUGUGCCCAGAUGGGAUUAUCUAGUAGGUGAGGUAAAGGCUCACCAAGUCGACGAUCCCUAGCUGGUCUGAGAGGAUGACCGGCCACACUGGAACUGAGACACGGUCCAGACUCCUACGUGAGUCAGCAGUAGGGAAUCUUGCGCGAUGGGCGCAAGCCUGAAGCAGCAAAGCCGCGUGAGUGAAGAAGGCCUUCGGCUCGUAAAGGUCUGUCAGCGGGGAGGCGUUACCUACAGAGAAAGAACCGGAUAACUCCGUGCCAGCAGCCGCGGUAAUUC
rnacentral:rRNA from 1 species